CAGGGUGUAGUUAAGCUAUAAUAUCUCCCUUACACCGAGAAGACAUCUGUGAAAACCAGGUCAUCCUGA
rnacentral:tRNA from 1 species